rnacentral:rRNA from 1 species
ACUCAAAUGAAUAGACGGGGACUCGCACAAGCGGUGGAUCAUGUGGUUUAAUUCGUAGGUAAGCGAAGAACCUUACCAGGGCUUGAAAUCUAAACGAAUUCCAGCAGAAACGUUGGAAGUCUCACAAGGACGUUUAGACAGGUGAUGCAUGGCUGUCGUCAGUUCGUGGCUUGAGUUGUUCCCUUAAGUGGGGUAACGAACGCAACCCUUGUCGUCUGUUUUAUAUGUCAGGCGAGACUGCUUUGCUUGUCAAAGAGGAAGCGAGGAUGACGCCAAGUCAGCAUGUCCCUCUGAUGCCCUGGGCUACACACAUGAUACAAUGGCCGAUACAACAGGUCGCGACGGAGAAAUCCUGAGCUAAUCCUUAGAAAGUCGGCCCCAGUUCGGAUUGAGGUCUGCAACCUGACCUCAUGAAGCCGGAAUCGCUAGUAAUCGCAGGUCAGCAACACUGCGGUGAAUACGUUCUCGAGUCUUGUACACACCGCCCGU